rnacentral:tRNA from 1 species
GUCUCAAAAGCUUAGUAGUUAGAGCGCUGACACUGUACGCCAGAGACCCUGGGUUCAAGUCCCGGUUGAGACU